AGUGAACGCUGGCGGUAGGCCUAACACAUGCAAGUCGAACGGAGUGGCGGACGGGUGAGUAAUACCUCGGAAUCUGCUCUGUCGUGGGGGAUAACGUCGGGAAACGUACGCUAAUACCGCAUACGAUUGAAUGUGCCUAGGUCGGAUUAGCUAGUUGGUGGGGUAAAGGCCUACCGAGGCGACGAUCCGUAACUGGUCUGAGAGGAUGAUCAGGCACACUGUAACUGAGAGACGGUCCAGACUCCUACGGGAGGCAGCAGUGGGGAAUAUUGGACAAUGGGCGAAAGCCUGAUCCAGCCAUGCCGCGUGUGUGAAGAAGGUCUUCGGAUUGUAAAGCACUUUAAGUUGGGAGGCGUUACCCGCAGAAGAAGCACCGGCUAACUUCGUGCCAGCAGCCGCGGUAAUUC
rnacentral:rRNA from 1 species